rnacentral:rRNA from 1 species
UAAACAUUGACAGUUAAUUACACCCACUGUCCGCCUGGGAACUACGAGCGCUAGCUUAAAACCCAAAGGACUUGGCGGUGCUUUAGACCCACCUAGAGGAGCCUGUUCUAGAACCGAUAAUCCCCGUUAAACCUCACCCUUCCUUGUUCUUUCCCGCCUAUAUACCACCGUCGUCAGCUUACCCUGUGAAGGCCCAAUAGUAAGCACAAUCGGCAAUGCCCAAAACGUCAGGUCGAGGUGUAGCGAAUGGAAGGGGAAGAAAUGGGCUACAUUUACUGAUACAGUAAAUACGGAUGAUUACCCUGCAACGAGUAUCUGAAGGAGGAUUUAGCAGUAAGCAAAAAGCAGAGUGUUUUGCUGAAAUUGGC